rnacentral:rRNA from 1 species
GAUCCAGCCAUGCCGCGUGUGUGAAGAAGGCCUUUUGGUUGUAAAGCACUUUAAGCAGUGAAGAAGACUCUUCGGUUAAUACCCGGAGACGAUGACAUUAGCUGCAGAAUAAGCACCGGCUAACUCUGUGCCAGCAGCCGCGGUAAUACAGAGGGUGCAAGCGUUAAUCGGAAUUACUGGGCGUAAAGCGAGCGUAGGUGGCUUGAUAAGUCAGAUGUGAAAUCCCCGGGCUUAACCUGGGAACUGCAUCUGAUACUGUCAGGCUAGAGUAGGUGAGAGGAAGGUAGAAUUCCAGGUGUAGCGGUGAAAUGCGUAGAGAUCUGGAGGAAUACCGAUGGCGAAGGCAGCCUUCUGGCAUCAUACUGACACUGAGGCUCGAAAGCGUGGGUAGCAAACAGGAUUAGAUACCCUGGUAGUCCACGCCGUAAACGAUGUCUACUAGUCGUUGGGUCCCUUGAGGACUUAGUGACGCAGCUAACGCAAUAAGUAGACCGCCUGGGGAGUACGGCCGCAAGGUUAAAACUCAAAUGAAUUGACGGGGGCCCGCACAAGCGGUGGAGCAUGUGGUUUAAUUCGAUGCAACGCGAAGAACCUUACCUGGUCUUGACAUAUCUAGAAUCCUGCAGAGAUGCGGGAGUGCCUUCGGGAAUUAGAAUACAGGUGCUGCAUGGCUGUCGUCAGCUCGUGUCGUGAGAUGUUGGGUUAAGUCCCGCAACGAGCGCAACCCUUGUCCUUAGUUACCAGCGGGUUAAGCCGGGAACUCUAAGGAUACUGCCAGUGACAAACUGGAGGAAGGCGGGGACGACGUCAAGUCAUCAUGGCCCUUACGACCAGGGCUACACACGUGCUACAAUGGUAGGUACAGAGGGCAGCUACACAGCGAUGUGAUGCGAAUCUCAAAAAGCCUAUCGUAGUCCAGAUUGGAGUCUGCAACUCGACUCCAUGAAGUAGGAAUCGCUAGUAAUCGCGGAUCAGAAUGCCGCGGUGAAUACGUUCCCGGGCCUUGUACACACCGCCCGUCACACCAUGGGAGUUGAUUGCACCAGAAGUGGUUAGCCUAACCGUAAGGAAGGCGAUCACCACGGUGUGGUUGAUGACUGGGGUGAAGUCGUAACAAGGUAGCCGUAGGGGAACCUGCGGCUGGAUCACCU